rnacentral:rRNA from 1 species
UACGUAGGGGGCAAGCGUUGUCCGGAUUUAUUGGGCGUAAAGAGCGUGUAGGCGGCUAGGUAGGUCCGUUGUGAAAACUCGAGGCUCAACCUCGAGACGCCGAUGGAAACCAUCUGGCUAGAGUCCGGAAGAGGAGAGUGGAAUUCCUGGUGUAGCGGUGAAAUGCGCAGAUAUCAGGAAGAACACCCGUGGCGAAGGCGGCUCUCUGGGACGGUACUGACGCUGAGACGCGAAAAGCGUGGGGAGCGAACAGG